AUUGAACGCUGGCGGAAUGCUUUACACAUGCAAGUCGAACGGCAGCACGGACUUCGGUCUGGUGGCGAGUGGCGAACGGGUGAGUAAUGUAUCGGAACGUGCCCAGUCGUGGGGGAUAACGUAGUGAAAAUUACGCUAAUACCGCAUACGAUCUAGGGAUGAAAGCGGGGGAUCGCAAGACCGCGCGCGAUUGGAGCGGCCGAUAUCAGAUUAGGUAGUGGGUGGGGUAAAGGCCCACCAAGCCAACGAUCUGUAGCUGGUCUGAGAGGACGACCAGCCACACUGGAACUGAGACACGGUCCAGACUCCUACGGGAGGCAGCAGUGGGGAAUUUUGGACAAUGGGCGAAAGCCUGAUCCAGCCAUUCCGCGUGCAGGAUGAAGGCCCUCGGGUUGUAAACUGCUUUUGUACAGAACGAAAAGGUUUCUACUAAUACUAGGAGCUCAUGACGGUACUGUAAGAAUAAGCACCGGCUAACUACGUGCCAGCCGCCGCAGUAA
rnacentral:rRNA from 1 species